UAGCGUCAAGAGACGAACACACUUCCGCGUAGAAAGGGAUGGGGUGUAGGGGAAGGGACGGGUUUUUUAGGGGUCUACAUAAAGAGAUAAUAAGGUCUAUAAGUUCUUACUAAGUUUAGCGGUAUGCAUUUUAGUCAACCCUUCGCUCAAUUCAGUUUCCAAAUUAACAACACAUAUAGUUUUCUUCAACCAAGAAAUUAUUCACAUCAUCCUCUGUUUCUCCAUUAUCCUUUCCUAUGUGCAAAUAUGUUCUUAUAUUUUUAUGCAUGAGGUGGCUUCUUUGAAUGGAAUGCACCAUACUUUUGUAGUAUUUCUGCCUUAAGCGUUAAGAGAUAGACACAAUCACUCAUAGAUAGGGGAAUAGAAAGAAUGAAAGAGGAAAUCAGAUAGAGAACCUCUUGCCGGCUUUUGAACCAUGCAUUUUGGAUCUCCAUGCUCCUUCAAACUGUGGAAUAUAUAAGGAAUCAUAUUUUACUUCACUCCAAAAUAUUAUUUUGACCCAUGUAUUUCACUUUCUCUCACCUACUCAUUCUUCAUAUGCAAGUGUGUUCCUCUACUUGACACUAAAGGUGGAGGCUCUUAAAGAAACACUUGUAACUGUUGUUAGUUCUUUUUGUAGUAUCUCGAUCUUUAGCUUCAACAAAUGAACACACUCGCGCAAUGACAAUGAAGAAGGGUGUCUAAAGAUCAAAUAAGGUAGGGAACCACUUACUAAGCUUUGAAGCAUGCAUUUUGGCUAUCCCUUUAUAGGUGGUUAAAUUGCAAAUUUUCAUAUUACAUACUCC
rnacentral:lncRNA from 1 species